GACCCCAGCUUGCCUCAACACUGGAAUCAUGAAUGUGCUUUAAAAAGAAUGAAGAGAUCCUCUGUCAAACCCAGACCUACUAAAAAAAUAAUACAUAAGAACAAGGCCAUCUACACAUUUAUUUAAGUGAUUCUUACAAUCAACCAGAGAACCACCUCUCUAGUCUUCCUUCAUUGAGAUAAAUAAAUCCAUCAGAUUAGCAACUCGCCAUUACCAGCAGGGCAGGUCAGCCUUCAAUCAGGGGCAAAGAUUAGGGAUGGAAGGCAAGGAUUAGAGGGACAAAGAAGAAGCAAGAGCGGGGUGAUGUGGGCCACACAGAGGCAUCUCACAGAAAGGCCCCAUGUGGGCCAAAGAGGAUUCUUGGCAUGGCUGUCUGAAUGGUUUUAAAGACUGGUUUGUCAAAAGAAGACAGUGGCAAAGCCCACUUGGCCUUUUUCAAGUGAAAACGAAAAUCCUGCAUCUGUCAGUAGUGUCCACCAUCUUUCUGCUAUUCUUCAACAUGAGGAAUCAGAGCUAUCUCUUCAAACUCCAUUCCUUUCAUAGGUGCGAAAGAGAGGAACUCUGAACCCAGACACUUCAAUGCAACAUACACAUAGGUGAUCUCUUAGCUUACCUUUCCCACCUGGGAGAGCACAUCCCCGGCUCAUUUACUCAUUCAAUCAUUUAAUUAACCACCAUUUACUGAGCAAACAUAAUAGGUUGAAAAAAGGCAAACUGGCUUGGUGGGUCCGUAGUAGACUAUGAACUUUACUAUGAUGACACAAGAGGAAAAAGAAGUGGAACACGAUGUGGUGUUGGCAGCACCCAAAUCAUACAGACUCUUAAACGUCUCUAUGUCUGUUUUAAGGAGGAGAAGAACCUGGCACCCCCCACCCCUACCUGAGCUUAUACAUACACAGCAGAAGAGAACAGAGGCUGCUCAAAGACAUGGGAUAUGGAGAAGAAAACAGCAAAGUGUCUGUCCUCAAGCAAGCUGCUCUACCCAGCAAAUUAUCUAUUGUUAUAUUGUUGUAAACCUUCCCCACUCUCUCCAGUACAAAUCAUCGAAUUUCUGUCACUAAUUUGCUGUGUGAUCCUGUGUAUUUCAUGUAACUCCUCUGAGCUGUCAUUUUAUCAACUUAAAUUCUGUCAAAUAACGUUUUUAUUCUAACUCAAAGAAAUGUAUCAAAUUCUCUGAACUCUCCAGGGGAAAAGAUGUCAUAAGCCAAAGAUGAAAUACAUCGUCACACAUUAAAAUGAUGUUUUUGUUAUUAAACUUUUUAUUCAAACCUCAACAAGGGGAAACAAUUCCAAAGACAAAACAACCUCUGUUAUAGAUAUUUAAAGCUUUACACUGCUUGUACUACAACAAAGCUCUAUCAUGUAAUUUUUUUCUUAUGCAUGACAUCAAUUUGCACCCUCCUAUUCCUCCUUGCAUUUUUGAAAAAUUUAAGAUUCACCUUUGCUAAGUGACAUAGCCAUUUCCUUCCCCUGCCCAAAUGAAAGGAAAGUUUCAUAUCAGAGAAGUGAGGUGAUAAAAGUUUAAAAUUAAAAGUCCCUGACCAUGUUCCAAAGCUUUUUUAUACCAUCAGCAGUACUUACCAUCACAAUGUGGGGAGAAGAAGAACAAUGAAGACAGAAGAAUUAGAGGAAAACAGAUGUAGAGAGGAUACAAGGUACCUUUAUUCACUUUAUGACUCCAGGUUUUAGAAUUAACAUCAUCUUUUAAAAAUCUCAUCUUGGGGGCAUCCAACCCUUGAUUUCAGCUCAGAUCAUGAUCUCACCAUUCAUGAGAGUGAGCCCCGAGUGGGGCUCUGCACUGACAGCAUGGAGCCUGCUUUGGAUUCUCUCUCCUCUCUCUCUCUCUCUCUGCCCCUUCCCUCCCUUUCGUUUGCUCUCUUUCUCUCAAAAUAAAUGUUUAAAAAAAUCCAUCUUGGUGAGAUGGGUAAAUGCGAGUCAAUGAAUAAUGGUCAGAGAAAAUAA
ensembl:lncRNA